rnacentral:miRNA from 5 species
GUGAAGUGUUUGGGGGAACUC